rnacentral:misc_RNA from 1 species
UUGAGGGAAGUAGCGAUAAAUGUGAUCCCCAAUAUUCUUGGCCACAUUAUCAAGCUCGGCAUCAUCGAACCUCUCGUUUGCAUGGAAGUAACCCACUAUACCCAGACCUUGAGCAAUAUAGUACUCUUCUAUCAUGAUAAGGGAGAUCUCGAGAGGAGGGAGUAGGCCGAGGUGGUUGUGAAAAAGAGGGACAGAGUCGGCAAUCUCGACGACGUCGUCGUUGGAUCGACCAAGUAAGACGCCGUUAACGGCUGAGGACCUGUGCUUGAGCGCGUGUAGCACCAGCUUUAUGUAGGCAUUCUGCGACAUGUCGUACUUGAGCUCCCCACCAGCCAUUUUCUUCUCCCAAUUUUCGAUCGUUUUAGACUUGCCGGCGACAAGAAACUAGGAAGCAGGCCGUCUCUUUUGUGAGCUCUGAGUGGGAGAG